rnacentral:rRNA from 1 species
CAAUAGCGUAUAUUAAAGUUGUUGCGGUUAAAAAGCUCGUAGUUGGAUUUCUGCCUGAGGCAGCCGGUCCGCACUUAGUGCGUGUAUCUGGUUUGGUUUGGGCAUCCUCUUGGGGAUCGUUGCUGUGCUUAGUUGCAUGGUGCGGAAUUCACGACUUUUACUUUGAGGAAAUUAGAGUGUUCACGGCAGGCAAGCGCCUUGAAUAUAUUAGCAUGGAAUAAUAAUAUAGGACUUUGGUUCUAUUUUGUUGGUUUCUAGGACUAAAGUAAUGAUUAAUAGGGAUAAUUGGGGGCAUUUGUAUUAACGCGUCAGAGGUGGAAUUCUUGGAUUGCGUUACGACAAACUACUGCGAAAGCAUUUGCCAAGGAUGUUUUCAUUGAUCAAGAACGAAAGUAUGGGAUCGAAGACGAUCAGAUACCAU